UGGGCCUUCACAGUGCUGCUCCAGGAAGCUGCAAACUCUGCUUCUCCUUCUCUUGUUUCCGGCUUCCCCAGCCUCACUGUUUACAUGUUCCCUUUCCUCUACCCUCUCCUCCCUGAAGACUAGGAAGGCUGGGCCGCACACAAAUCCAGGGCUCUGGAAUGCUGGGAAGGAAUCACUAGUUGUUGCUUAAGAGGUUCCACACUCUGACGCUUUGAAGAGGACUAGUGUGGGGAAGUGGUGUGAGGCCAAGGACCAAGCCCUGCCCCACUCCAACUCCCAGGGCUUUUGUCGAGGAAGCAAGAGCACCACAGAACAGGUAAGGCCAGGAGGCAUGCCUUAGGGCUUGGCAUUCUGUAUGGUCUCAGAACAGCUUUGAGCUGUGCGUUGGCAAAUGGCUGGAUUCUUGAUACUCGAUUCUCGAGCUGCGUGACUGGAGGUGCAGCCAGAUAUGAGGGAGGUGUUCUGAGAGCAGCAGGAGGUGAACUAGGACUAGUUCUGCGCUCACUACUGCUCUGGCCAUGGCCACUUCAAUACCAACUUACAAGUUAUCCCGGCCCCUGCUCCCUCUACCUCAGAGAGAGAGAGAGACAGAUAGAAGAUAGACAGACACAUACACAGACAGACAGACAGACAGACAGACAGACAGACAGACAGACACAGAGACAGGCAGACGGGGAGGGGGCAUGUCUCUCCCCACCGGUCUCUGCUCCCUUAGUGCUGAGAUUAAAGGUAUACACCAUUAAACCUGGCCUAGCACUCUCUGUAUCUCUGUGCCCUUCCCAUCCCAAGAAACCAAGGAGCCACGUGGUUUUGGCAGAGUGAUCCAUGGAGUCCGGAGCCCACACCCCUCUUCAGGAUUCCCUCAGGGCUAUCCUCAUUGGUCACCACAGGCACACCCUAGACCAAGGGCAGGACAGAACACCAAUGUCCAGGCAGUUUCUGUCUUACCCAUGACCCUUGGUAGCCUUUACCAGAGUUGAUAUGACCUCAUAGGUAGCAUGGCAGUUACCAGAGUCCUCCCAGCCCCACCCCAGGGCAGGCAGAGAGAUGUGCAGAGACCAGACUCUCGUUAACCGUUUGUAUGUAUGUCUCAGCAAACCCAGACACCUCGAGUUGUCAGUCCUCUGUCUCUGACAUUGUCCUAUCACUGGCCUUUUCUGAAUGAGACUGCUCACUUCUUUUUGUACAACAUGAAUUAAAUAUAUUCUCUGUCUUUGCUCUGAGUCACGACAUUCACAGUCAGUGGGAAAGGGGGUUAGGGAGAACCCAGGCUCCAAGGGGUUAGGAUGGCAUGGAGCUUGACCUCCCUUUGACCUUUGCCCUUCAAGUUCAGCCAAAUGUUGGGGAGACCCUAGAACAGGAGGGGAGUACAGAGGAAGGGUGCCUUCCCUGGGGAUGUAGGAUGAGGCUGUCAGGAUCAAACCUGCUGCAACCUCACUUCUCUCCA